rnacentral:rRNA from 1 species
UACAUAGGUCUCAAGCGUUGUUCGGAUUCAUUGGGCGUAAAGGGCGCGUAGGUGGCCCGGUCAGUGUGCGGUGAAAGCUCGGGGCUCAACCCCGAGUCGGCCGUGCGAACUACUGGGCUGGAGCACUGUAGAGGCAGGCGGAAUUCCGGGUGUAGCGGUGGAAUGCAUUGAGAUCGGAAAGAACACCAACGGCGAAAGCACUCUGCUGGGCCGACACUGACACUGAGAGACGAAAGCUAGGGGAGCAAAUGGG